AUGUACAUUCCUACAACAUAGUGUUAAUAAACCAGAUCCGAUUAAAACUCUUCAGUUUAUUCUACUCAGGCUAGAGUAGUACUGGGGUGGGUGACCACCUAGGAAGUCCUAGUGUUUUACAUG
rnacentral:rRNA from 1 species